GGCUCGGUAGCUCAGUUGGUAAAGCGCUCGUCUAGCAUACAAGAGUCCUGGGUUCGAAUCCCACGUCGAUUUU
rfam:Aedes aegypti strain Liverpool supercont1.94 genomic scaffold, whole genome shotgun sequence.